rnacentral:rRNA from 1 species
GGGGGAUAUUGCACAAUGGGGGAAACCCUGAUGCAGCGACGCCGCGUGGAGGAAGAAGGUUUUCGGAUUGUAAACUCCUGUCGUUAGGGACGAUAAUGACGGUACCUAACAAGAAAGCACCGGCUAACUACGUGCCAGCAGCCGCGGUAAAACGUAGGGUGCAAGCGUUGUCCGGAAUUACUGGGUGUAAAGGGAGCGCAGGCGGACCGGCAAGUUGGAAGUGAAAUCCAUGGGCUCAACCCGUGAAUUGCUUUCAAAACUGCUGGCCUUGAGUAGUGCAGAGGUAGGUGGAAUUCCCGGUGUAGCGGUGGAAUGCGUAGAUAUCGGGAGGAACACCAGUGGCGAAGGCGACCUACUGGGCACCAACUGACGCUGAGGCUCGAAAGCAUGGGUAGCAAAC